UGAGGGAGGAGCCCAUCGGCCGGCCCAUCGCGCUCCUCCCCCGCGAAUCGCUUCUCCCCCACAAGGCCAGGCCAGAUCGUGGUAGCGAUCCAACCGCCGACGACGCGCCCACCUCCUCUUCGCCGCCUCCGCCGUCGCGCUCCCGGGGAUGUGGAGGGUUGGCUGUGCACCGGGGAUGGAGGAGUCCACCGCCUCCGCCGACGGCGACGCCCCACCCAGGAGCAGGAUUGAGAACGACAAGAAAAGUUUCGAUUCGUUUGUUCUCGAGAUGAGGGAGAAUGCGUUGACCUGAAAUUUUACGCACUCCGACCUCCUCCAUCGGCUGCGCUGCCGCUCAACCUAUGCCACCGCCGGAUCGACGGGAGCCGCCAGCCGCUCCACCUGCGCCGUCAUAGGGAGCCUCCAACCGACCUCCUCCAUCGGCUGCGCAGCCGCUCCACCUGUGCCACCGCCGGAUCGACGGGAGCCACCCGCUUCCCCCCUCCCCUACACCUCCACCUGGGAUAAAUUAAUUGAGCAGCUUCAAAGUAGACGCCUUCCUCUGCAUCUCCGCUCCGCUCUCUCCCCUUCGACCACCUCCACCACCAUCGCACACCGUAUCGCCUCUCCACUCUCUCCCCGGCGGCUGCAAAUCGAUCCCGGCUGGACGUGACUAGGUUGGCGACUAGACUCAUCCCUCAUGCCAUCUAUCUCUCCAAUAUAAUAUAGUUCUAGGCAUCUGAUUUCUCGGUGAUCAAGGAUGGAGGUGAGGAACUUCAACGAGAAGCUGGUUGAAUAAAAUUUCUACCUUAUUACUGAGGUAAACAAGGGCGUGUACUUGUGCUUCUUCUAAAACUUAAUGAAUGGCUGCCUCCACUGCUUGUGGUAAAAAAACUCUUAGUUGUUGCUUUAUAAAAAAAAAAUCUAUGUUGCCAUCGAUUCUUUGCUGUCAUGGUGAAAGGGCCAGCUAGCAAGAACAACACUUACAUAGAUGUAUUAUACUCAAGAUCCUUUCGUGAUUGUUUGAAAAUUAUAUUCAUGGUUAUUAUUUGACUUGAUACUUAUUUUCAUGGUUUUAAACACAUGCACUAAAAUCAGCUUGGAGGAAUGGGAUAUAAGCAGGAGUUUAUGUAUCCAAAAUAUGUAAUCAGACUCUGGGAUAUGCUGUAAAUUUGAGCUGGUCUGCCUCUGUUAAUGGGUUAAAAGUCAUGGAUGCUGGUGUUAGCCAGAUGAAAUAGCAUCAUUGCGCUCUACUGUAUCAGGAUUCCCUUGAAUCCUGGAUUUGCUAUUUUGUUUUGCUUUCCUCAAACAAUUGUAUCUGAUGUUAUAAUCUGAUAUAUCAUAGUUUGAACGUGAUACACAGGUAUAGUAUAGUAUAACCUGCAGUGCCAGAUUUGGACAUCUUCAGUUAUGGGACUUGAUAAAGCUUGGAGAUCAUCUCGGUGAACGGGAGGAUGUUGAUCCAUGCAGUUGUGUGUUCACCUGUGUUCUGUUAUACAACUAAUAUGCAGUGAUAGAUGCACUAUGGUAUAUCAUCGUCAGAUCUUCCUUCAAAGUGGAUGGUAGCUAUCUGUGCAGAUAGGUUGACAAAAAAUUGCACGCCCAUGUUCAGAUUUCAGAAUCAAUACAUGUGCAAGUUUCAGACUAUUAAAGUUCAGAGCGAUUUAUGCAUGA